rnacentral:rRNA from 1 species
GACGAACCGUGCGAACGUUAUUCGGAAUCACUGGGCUUAAAGCGCGUGUAGGCGGGUCGGUGCGUCGGCCGCUGAAAUCCCCCGGCUCAACCGGGGAAGGGGCGCCGAUACGACCGGCCUGGAGCGACGUAGGGGGGACUGGAACUUCCGGUGGAGCGGUGAAAUGCGUUGAGAUCGGAAGGAACGCCCGUGGCGAAAGCGAGUCCCUGGACGUCGGCUGACGCUGAGACGCGAAAGCCAGGGGAGCGAACGGGG